GAUGAAGAACGUAGCGAAAUGCGAUAAGUAAUGUGAAUUGCAGAAUUCAGUGAAUCAUCGAAUCUUUGAACACACAUUGCGCCCGGUAGUAUUCUGCCGGGCAUGCCUGUUCGAGCGUCAUUUCAACCAUCAAGCCCCAGCGCUUGUGUUGGGGGCCUGCGGCUGCCGCAGCCCCCCAAAAGCAGUGGCGGGCUCGCUAUCACACCGAGUGCAGUAGUUCAUCUUCUCUCCGGUCUUGUGAGGCGGGUUCCGGCCGUGAAACACCCCACUACAUUCAAGGUUGACCUCGGAUCAGGUAGGAAUACCCGCUGAACUUAAGCAUAUCAAUAAGCGGAGGA
rnacentral:misc_RNA from 1 species